GUAGGCCGACGUAUGAGUGUGAUGUGAAAGCCCUGGGCUUAACCUAGAAAGCGCAUCGCAAACGAUAUGUCUGGAGUAGAUGAGAGGGUGGCGGAAUUUCCGGUGUAGCGGUGAAAUGCGUAGAGAUCGGAAGGAACGUCGAUGGCGAAGGCC
rnacentral:rRNA from 1 species